rnacentral:pre_miRNA from 1 species
UGGCAAGAUGUCGGCAUAGCUGACGUUGAAAAGCGAUUUUGAAGAUCGCUAUGCUGCAUCUAGUCAGU